UGAUGAUCACCAGAGGGCAGAUUAGAGCAUCCUUAGAAUUAUCGGACAGUCAGCCCUCCUUCUAGGGGUGGAGAAAGAAAGGGCAAGCUCAUAUCUUUCUUCAGAGAGGUGUGGUGAGAGGCCAGUUCCUGAAGAUGCUGGUGCUUCUGCUGCUUCUGGGACCCAGCUCUGGCCUUGGCGCUCUCGUCUCUCAGCAGCCCCGCAGAGCUGUCAGGAAGAGCGGCGACUCUGUGACCAUCCAGUGCCGUGCAGUGGACUUUCAAACCACAACUGUGUUCUGGUACCGUCAGCUCCCGAAACAAGGCCUCGUGCUGAUGGCAGCUUCUAAUGAAGGCACUGAUGCCACAUACGAACAAGGUUAUAACAAAGACAAGCUUCCCAUCAGUCAGCCAAACCUAACAUUUUCAUCUCUGACGGUGACAAGUGUGGAUCCUGCCGACAGCAGCCUCUACUUCUGCGGUGCUAGAGACACAGCGCUGGGUGGAGAUCAGAGAGCCAGACAAGAAUCUUGGUAGCAUCCCCCUUCCCCAUCCCACUGAACCAUGGGGCCCCGUGGAGGGAGGUGUGGAGAGAGAAAAGCCACAGCCUCGCUGACUGAGUCAUCUGUGGCUCUGUGUGUAGAGAGAGAAAGAGAGAGAAAAUGUCUGAGUACAGAGUGGGGAGAAGGUAUGGUGUUUGAGAACUAGCCGUAUGGGAAUGGGGCUAGGCCUAUAAA